rnacentral:rRNA from 1 species
CAUAUCAAUAAGCGGAGGAAAGGAAACCAACAGGGAUUGCCCUAGUAACGGCGAGUGAAGCGGCAACAGCUCAAAUUUGAAAUCUGGCUCUUUCAGGGUCCGAGUUGUAAUUUGCAGAGGGCGCUUUGGUGUUGGCAGCGGUCCAAGUUCUUUGGAACAGGACGUCACAGAGGGUGAGAAUCCCGUACGUGGUCGCUAGCCCUCACCGUGUAAAGCCCCUUCGACGAGUCGAGUUGUUUGGGAAUGCAGCUCUAAAUGGGAGGUAAAUUUCUUCUAAAGCUAAAUACUGGCCAGAGACCGAUAGCGCACAAGUAGAGUGAUCGAAAGAUGAAAAGCACUUUGGAAAGAGAGUCAAAUAGCACGUGAAAUUGUUGAAAGGGAAGCGCUUGCAGCCAGACUUGCCUGUAGUUGCUUAUCUAGACUUUUGUCUAGUGCACUCUUCUAUAGGCAGGCCAGCAUCAGUUUGGGCGGUUGGAUAAAGGUCUCUGUCAUGUACCUCCUUUCGGGGAGGCCUUAUAGGGGAGACGACAUGCAACCAGUCUGGACUGAGGUCCGCGCAUCUGCUAGGAUGCUGGCGUAAUGGCUGUAAGCGGCCCGUCUUGAAACACGGACCAAGGAGUCUAACAUCUAUGC